rnacentral:rRNA from 1 species
AUUCCAGCUCCAAUAGCGUAUAUUUAAGUUGUUGCAGUUAAAAGGCUCGUAGUUAGAUCUUGGGUCGUAAGGGUCGGUCCGCCUACUCGGUGUGCACCUACCCUUCCAUCCCUUUUGUCGGCGGCGUGCUCCUGACCUUAAUUGGUUGGGUCGCGGUUCUGGCAUUGUUACUUUGAAAAAAUUAGAGCGCUCAAAGCAAGCUUAUGCUCUGAAUACAUUAGCAUGGAAUAACGUGAUAGGAGUCUGGUCCUAUUGUGUUGGCCUUCGGGACUGGAGUAAGGAUUAAUAGGGACUGUUGGGGGCAUUCGUAUUUCAGUGUCAAAGGCGAAAUUCUUGGACUUAUGAAAGAUGGACCACUGCGAAAUCAUUUGCUGAGGAUGUUUUCAUUA